AAAAUAUUUCAUUGACGUACAAGAUUAACUAUACCAAUUUAACUACAUAUGGUAGCCUACGCGCAUUGUGUUACAAGGACUAUUUUUGAUAAAUCUUUUAAAAAGCUUAUCUGUUAAUAAUAGCCCAAAACAUUUACCACAAUGUUUAUCACUUUCACAACACCAAUGUCCUAUAUUACAUUCGCUAGGAAACUAGGCCCUAGAAAAUAAGUAAAAGGGGUGGCAAAAAUGGUGCCAGCAGUCGCGGUUAUACCAGUACCCCAAGUUAAUUAAAACAAAUCGGAAUAAUUCUUAACCAGAAAAGACUACAAGAUUAACUUUUAAUGUAAAAAGUAAAUUAAAACUAAACCCAAUCCAGUCAUCACUUUAAUUAUUCCAACAAACCACAAUCUCAGAACUCGGAUUAGAUACCCGACUACUGUGUGGCCCAACCCAUAAAAGAAUACUACGAGCGAAAGCUUAAACCUCAAACAAUGUGGCGGUGCUUUACUCCUUAUCAGGGGAUCCUGUGGCUUAAUUCGAUAAUCCACGAAAAUCUUAGCUAUUCUUGUACUUCAGCUUGUGUAUGGCCGUUUAUGCUUGCUCAAAGAAGAAAAAAAAGGAAGCAAUAGAAUCACCCAUUCAACAAUUCAGGUGACAUACAGCCAAUGAAGAGCAGACUCAUGGGAUACAAAUAAAUACACUAACGAAUUUAAAUCUUCAAACUUUUAAUGAAGGAGGACUUGAAAGUAAGAUUUAACACUUAUACAAAAUAAAUCUGAACAAGAACUAAAGCGCGCACAAAUCGCCCGUCACUCCGACAAUAAAGUAGGAUAAGUCGUAACAUAGUAGGGGUAAUGGAAAUUGCCCCUAUCAAUA
rnacentral:ncRNA from 1 species